GACGAACGCUGGCGGCGUGCUUCACACAUGCCAGUCGAACGAAGUGGCGAACGGGUGAUUAAUACGUGGGUAACCUGCACUACGGUUUGGGAUAAGCCUUGGAAACGGGGUAUAACACCGAAUCGAGGGGGUUGGGCUCGCGUUCUUUCAGCUUGUUGGGGGUGUGAUGGCCUACCAAGGCGGAGACGGGUAGCCGGCCUGAGAGGGUGCCCGGCAACAUUGGGACUAUGAUACGGCCCCGACUCCUACGGGAGGGAGCAGUGGGGGAUAUUGCCCAAUGGGCGAAAGCCUGAUGCAGCGACGCCGCGUGGGGGAUUAAGGCUUUCGGGUUGUAAACCUCUUUCGCUAGCGAACGGGUAGGUGGAGAAGAAGCGCCGGCUAACUACGUGCCAGCAGCCGCGGUAAUUC
rnacentral:rRNA from 1 species